UUUUACUUGCUCAGUUUAGCCUAGUCAAAGCUUAGCUAAAUGAGUAAAUGACAUAUUUGUAAUUUACUUAAACGAACCAAAAUUGAUUCCUCCAUUCUAGUAAUUGCCCCCAUUCUUCUCACUUAUUCCAAUUCUGUUAGCAUUUUAGCUAAGGACUUACUUGCCUGAAAGUGUUCAUCCCCUAUGGUAUGUCCCACUAAUUUAAUCUUCCUAAUGCACUGCUUUUGCAUAUAGGAUAAAAUUCAGACUUAUUGUACCUCAUAAUCUUGCCCUAACCUUCUUGAAGUUUUUCCCUUUUUUUCAAGCAAACUAGUCCUGCUCCAUCUGUUUUUCUGUCUCUAAUUUCAGUGCUCUUAUUUAUGCCGUUUCACCACCCCAAUUCUUCCCCAAUUUAUUCCUGUACAGUUUUUAAAUGCACUAUGCUGAAUGUUCCAUGAGUUUAAUAGUUUGGCAUUAUCCCUCCUUCCCAUGUUACAAAAAAUUUAUCCCUGUAGCUCUUAACCUUUUUCUCUCACUUAACAAAGAAAUACAGCAUUUCUAUCAUUAA
rnacentral:lncRNA from 1 species